AUGCAGUCGAGCGGACAGAUGGGAGCUUGCUCCCUGAUGUCAGCGGCGGACGGGUGAGUCACACGUGGGUAACCUGCCUGUAAGACUGGGAUAACUCCGGGAAACCGGGGCUAAUACCGGAUGCUUGAUUGAACCGCAUGGUUCAAUUAUAAAAGGUGGCUUUUACCUACCACUUACAGAUGGACCCGCGGCGCAUUACCUAGUUGGUGAGGUAACGGCUCACCAAGGCAACAAUGCGUACCCAACCUGAAAGGGUGAUCGGCCACCCGGGGACUGAAACACGGCCCAAACUCCUACGGAAGGCACCAUUAGGGAAUCUUCCGCAUGGGACAAAAGUCUGACGAACCACCGCCCCGGGAGUGAUGAAGGUUUUCGAAUCGAAAAACUCGGUUGUUAGGAAAAAACAAGUACCGUUCAAAUAGGGGGUACCUUGACGGUACCUAACCAAAAAGCCACGGCUAACUACGUGCCAGCAGCCGCGGUAAUACGUAGGUGGCAAGCGUUGUCCGGAAUUAUUGGGCGUAAAGCGCGCGCAGGCGGUUUCUUAAGUCUGAUGUGAAAGCCCCGGCUCACCGGGGAGGGUCAUUGUAACUGGGGAACUUGAGUGCAGAAGAG
rnacentral:rRNA from 1 species